GUCUUCGCCCGAUGCCUCCCCGUAAAGCAUCCACGCGGUGAUCCACGACCUCCACAGUCAGAUCUCAGGCUCUGGCCUCACCUCCAGUUUCCCAGCCUCCUCCCCCUCCUCCGACAAUGGUGGUUGGCACGGAGCAAUUUGACUUACUGGUGCAGUAGGUCAGAGGCCUCACUGAAGCUGUGCAGGCCAUACAACAGCAGCAGCAGCCGCAGGCAUCAGUACGACUGG
rnacentral:lncRNA from 1 species